CACUGCCCUCUUAAUUCCCAUUGAUUUCUAAGCCUAUUUUCUCAAUUCAACUAAUAGUUUGCUCAAUUGAAAUUAGAGCAAAUCCACAUACCCAUUUCUAGUCUUUGAAGAGAAUUUCAAACAAACCCAGCAUAAUAUUGCAAUCAGAUUCUCAUUCAAUAUACUAAUUCCAGAUGUCUAAUCAUAUAAGUACACGAAUGAAAAGAACAACAACAAAAUUUUUAUUCAAAUCCCAAACACACAAGGAAGAAUAUUGAAAAGUAAUUAGGAACAAGGUUUAGAAAUGGACCUCAAACAGAGUUGACGAACUCCGAAGCGAAACCGUGGACGAGCUGAUCUCACCAAACCGAGCUCGGACUCACCUCAACAACAUCACAGUCAAACUCCAUAUUUGGGAAUCACAGUCCAAAUCGGAAAGAAGAAACGCAGUCUAUAUUUUUUGGUUUGGAUUUAUUGGAAUUUUAAGAAGACAAAGUGUUGGAUUUGUGAAAUCUCAACGUGAGCUAAACAAAGAAUUAGAAGAAUUCAAUGUGAGCGAAACAUCUUCCAUUUCUUUUUAAGAACAUAUUUUAAAAUUUGUGAGCUCAAAGCUAUGAACCAAUAUGCACAAAUUUAUCAAUCAUUGCAGCUCAGUUAGGUCCUUCUCUUCAAGUGAUGUGUCGCUGCUUGUUGCUCUCUUUAUUUGUUAGGGAUUUUGGAAAUACAGUGAGUAAUGGAACUAAAAAAUAGGGAUUCAUUUACUAAAUUUUAACUUGGGGAAGAUAACUCAUUUUUGGGAGUGUUUCAAUUUUAAGAAUUGGUUAGGCAGAGGUCUGUGUCGCUGGUGUUUUGGGAGUUGCGGCUAGAAUGUUGAAGAGAGGUGGGGUGCGGCUGGGUUCUUUAGAAUUAGGAAGUUUGGCUGCUUUUUCAUGUCAAAAUUAGAGUGAGAACGAUGGAAAUUUUUUCAGGGGGUGGGCAGUCGUUCUUCAGUCUUAGCUCUAGGGUUGGGGGGGUUAUAAUUAGAUUUUUAUAUGGCAUAGGGGAAAGAUCUUGACCAUAGAAUUGAAUUGAAUAAAUGGCUAUGAUUUAGAAUGGGAGAUGGGUCAGAUGGGUUAUAGAUCUUGCGUUUAUUGGGCUUAAGUAUCUCAAAAUUGUGCUAAAUAUGCUUGGGUUUUUUAUAAAUCUGAAAAUCCUAGCCCAAUCUAACUGUUCUAAAAUAUUAAUGACCUUAGUUUAAAUAUAAAAUCAGACAAAGUAAAAUUAUUUUUGGGCUUUUAAUUAUUUAUUAUAUAUAUAUUUUUCAAAAGUCUUAGUUAAUAUAAAAUGGACUAAAAUUCUAGAAAAUUAAAGUUAACCUAAAUAAAUCCGUAAAAAUACUAGGAAUAUUAAAAAAAAUUACGCCGGUCAAAAAUUAAGUGCUUACAGCUGCCCCUCUUUGCUUGAAAAUACGAAGAGUUUUCGGAGCAAAGAACAAUAAGCAACGUAAUUGAUUUAUGACCCGACGCUUAUUCAAAAGAAAAGAAAGAUGGGUAAAAGAUUAUGACCGAGCCCUGGUAUCUGAGCUACCUACAUAUCCUUGGCUAUAAAGGUAUCAGGCCACGUGUAGUUCAGAAGUGGAUGAAGUAAUGGAGUGUGUGGAGAGGAUGAGAGAGUCGAGUGAGGUACUGUUUCGUCGAGGUUCCGGUCCGCGGUCGUGUUAUUACAUCAAAAUCAAAAUCUAAAAGAACUAAACAAGCCUAUCAGCUAUGAGUUACAAGAUUCUUAUCUAUAAAUCUUCUGAAGCUUUAUCUUGAGUUUUGAAUGGUUCUUCAUGCAGACUUUGAUUUGAACCUUGAUGCUUGCUAGUUGUAGGUGCUGGUUCAUUCUUCCACGGCUUCUUCGGAUCAAGACCAGACAUGUAGUGCUCGUGACUUAAGUCAUAUCUUGAGCAGUUCACAUUUUUCAUCUGCUUCUGCAUUUUGGAUUCAUUUCUUUUUUUUCUUUUCUUUUAUUCUGGAUUGAGACUACUUUUGUUGGUCAUCUCGGACCGUUGACUCGCAUUCUUGAGGCGAUCUUCAACUACUUCUAACUUGAAUUGAAUUCUAAAAUGACUUCCCUUGUUCUUCAGGUGGGAGCCUGCUACUGGCUUGAAAUUUGAAGUAACUCCGAAACAAAUUCUCUCAUUCUCCAGGUGGGUUCCUGCAAUCAAAACAACAAAACAAACAAAUUUUCUGCUCCGGUUUGCACUCGGAAGAUUUGUGAGUUUGUAGCAAAAAUGUAAACCACUUAUGCUAUUAAUGCAAUGAUGAGAGUAAACUAAAGACUCUACUAGGAUGUGCAACUCCUGUGAGUAAAACUAAGAAACUUUGACUAGCAAAUGUGUCUGCUAAAAAUAAAACCCGAAUGAUCCAAACUAGGAAAUGCGUCUCCUAGGGAGGAAAUCUCAAUUUAGGAAGUGCGUCUCCUAAAAGUAUAUCCUGAAAGACCUAGACUAGGAAGUGCGUCUCCUAGGGAUGAAACUUUAAUAACUCAAACUAGGAAAUGUGUCUUCUAGGAAUGAACUUAAAUGACCCAAAACUAGGAAGUCCGUCUCCUAGGGGUAAAAUCUCAAUUUAGGAAGUGAGUCUCCUAAAAGUGUAUCCUAAAGACCCAAAAUAGGACGUGUAUCUCCUAGGGGUGAAACAUGAAUGAACCAAACCAGGAAGUGCAUCUCCUAGGGCUAAACUUAAAUGACCUAAACUAGGAAGUGCGUCUUCUAGGGGUAAAAUCUCAAUUUAGGAAGUGUGUCUCCUAAAAGUAUAUCCUGAAAAACCCAGACUAGGAAAUGCAUCUCCUAGGGGAGAAACUUCAAUGACUCAAACUAGGAAGUGCCUCUCCUAGGAAUGAACUUAAAUGACCCAAACUAGGAAGUGUGUCUCCUAGGGGUAAAAUCUCAAUUUAGGAAGUGUGUAUCCUAGAAGUAUAUCCUGAAAAACCCAGACUAGGAAGUGCGUCUCCUAGGAAUAAAUUUAAAUGACCCAAACUAGGAAGUGUGUCUCCUAGGAAUAAACUUAAAUGACCCAAACUAGGAAGUUCAUCUCUUAGGGGUGAAAUCUCAAUUUAAGAAGUGCGUCUCCUAAAAGUAUAUCCUGAAAAACCCAAACUAGGAAGUGCGUCUCCCAGGGGUAAAAUCUCAAUUUAGGAAGUGAGUCUCCUAAAACAAAAUAUAACUUGAAAGACCCAUACUAGGACGUGCGUCUCCUAGGGUUAAAACUUCAAUGACUCAAACUAGGAAGUGCAUUUCCUAGAAAUAAACUUAAAUGUCCCAAACUAGGAAAUGCGUCUCUUAGAGGUGAUAUCUCAAUAUAGGAAGUGCGUCUCCCAAAACAAAAAUAUAACCUGAAAUACCUAGACUAGAAAGUGCGUCUCCUAGGGGUGAAACUUGAAUGAACCAAACUAGGAAUAGAAUUGGGGCAUUACACCUGAAAAAUUCAAGCUUCCAAGAUUUGAUAUGAACAUAGCCUUCAUCCUUAUUUCAAACAAAGAAAACUUGUGAGUUUAAAACAUGGUAGUUAGUUUGUGGACUUGACCUUGAAGGUGAUUGUUUCUACACUUGCCAUGAUAACUUUGAUUUAAACUUGGAAGACCUUGAUUGUUAUUGGCUAACCACUUUCUCUGUCAACCUUUAUCACAGAAAACACCUCUGAUUCGUUCAGGCCCAAUACCCUCUAUAUAUUGCAUUGUGCUUAUGAAUUGACAUUUACCAAACCUUUGCAUUUCACAUGAAUUCCAAAGCACAUCAAUUGUUAUCAACUCAGUGCGCAUGCCACUUUCCUGACUUAUACCGCUUUGAUGUGCUAGCCAGAUUCCGUUUUGUGCAAUUGAAAAUCUAGUAAAAAAUUUGAAAUCAUUUCUCACUUGUUCUGAUCAAACGGACUCAAAAGUGGACGUGAACAAUGAAAAAGGAACAAAGUAAGGGGCAAUGGAAAGGGAUGAUAUCUAACUAGAAAAUUACAAAGUAGAAACUUAUCUGAUGUGGAUACCAACUCUAAUGGCCAUGACAUGAACUUUUGGAUUAAGUGGCCUAAUCUAUCAAGCAAGUCUAAUAUUCAACUCUUGUUGUACCUCUUCGCCGUGAAAUUGGGCUUCAAUGCUCCAAUUAUCCUAUCUGAUCCACGAUCCUUAUUCGACUUGUAGUGCCCGAAGGGUUUUCACCAUUAAGCCUCUAUCAUUUUUCCUUUCUCUCAACUCCCCGUCGCCUUAUGGUUCCUAUAAAGGUUUUCACCGAUAAGACUCUCUUAUUUUUUCUUUUCUUCUUAUUUCCUCUGAUUCUGCAGAUGACAAGGCAUUAACCACGAUAGAAAUAUCAUAUGCUCCUGGCAUGUCUGACUCAGCACUCUCAAAGAUUAUCUGGAAGGUCUUUUAGACUGUAAUAUGGCUUUUGGACAGUAUUAGAAAUAAGGGAUAUCAUAAAGGCUCAAAAUAACUAAGACAAUAGGGUUAAUUUAUCUACAACUUUUGGAAUCAAUUAUAAAAACUUACCCUAAUUUCUAAAACAAGGAAAUUUGAUUCUUUUUUUUUCUUUUUUUUUGAGAUGAAAUUUCUAAGAAAGACUGUCCCACUCUCGACUUCGUGGGAUUAUGAAAUAUUUUAUUUGGUGCGACCGAAUCUUAAGGCUGCCUACAUAUCUUGUGGUAACAAGAAUCGAGUCGAACGUAGUUCAAAAGAAUACUUUUUGUUACUAUUUUUCUUUUUCUUUUUUUUUCUUUUUCCUUCUUUUUUUCGUUAUCUCUUUUUUUUCCUUUUGGAAUGAACUUUCUAAAACAAACCUAUGGGGACAUGAACUUUUUUCUUAUGACUCUAAAUUGAUUCCAAAAGAGGGGAGGUCAAAGAAAUUAGCACAGGCUCAAAAGGAUAUUCAAGGGUAUAAAGUGUUUGGGUAGCUGAAAGAUGGCCUCCCAAUCUCUGAAAAUGCCAAGUACAAUACCUGCAACUUGAUGAUGAAAAUUGAAGAUCAUGCACAAUAUUUCUUUUACAGCUUCGGCAUUGAUAUCACUCAUAUGUCUUCCACUUCUUUUUAAGUGCCUUGUUAAGUACAUAGCUCUUGUUGGGUGAUUUCUUCUUCACGAUGGAUACCCUCCGUCUGUUUGAAGAAAAUUCCCUUGGCUUUAUCUCGUAACUUGAGAUGCACUUAAACUCAAAGUUGUUCGCUUCAAAUUGUCUAGGAUGCACUCUCCUUUAAUGAAUUCUUGUCAUCCUAUUAACUUUCUAAAUUAUCUGCCCCAGUUUCACACAGUUCAGGAUUUAAAUGAUCUCAAAAUGUCCAAAUCUAUACUUAUUUCCCUCAAACGUCCCUAUCAUCUUUAAAAUUAUUUAUUGCUUCAUAAUUAGACUAACAUUUAAGACCAUGCCUAGAAUUAUACGUGCAUGUCAUGUCACUAGAGCCAGCAUGAAAUGAACUAUAAAAGGAAAAGAGAACUAAACAAAACUGACUAGAAAUAACAGAUAACAGGAAAUUGUAUUAGACAGAUGGUAAAAGGGUUUGAACCAAAAAACAAGCAAAAUAAACUGGGUUACAACCCUGGAACAAAACUAGAUAACACUAAAUGAGUUACUAUGACUAAACGAACUAGGCAAAACAAAAGGAUAGAAGGGUUUGAGUCACAAGACCAUAUCCGGAUUACAACCCUGAAAUAACCCGAACAACAGAAAUGAUAACAAAAUAAACCACCAAGACUCCUCCCCGGCUAGAUAAGAAAAGAGCAUCUUUCUAAUUACCAAGCUCGACAUCUUAGCCACUGAGUUCCAUAUCAAUAUUACCAAGACUAUUACAAAUUUCAAUAUCAUUAACUUCAGUCAGCAAGUUCUCAAGAGGAUUCUCAUACUCUAUGUCACCACGCAUCAUCCCCACAAAGUGUGCAUCAUCGUGUGCAGGUAAAGGAUUCUGUGUGAUAUUCUAGGUGUCACUGUCCUGGAUCACAAUUAUGCCUUCUUGCAUCAUUCUUUCUAUUUCCCUUUUCAAAGCACGACAUUCUUCAAUGCUAUGCCCUUGGACAUUAGAGUGGUACAUGUACCGUAAAGUAGGAUCAAAACCAUUUACAUAUGGGUUCGGAGUAUAGCUGAGGAGCAGCCCAAUCAGGCCAGAAUGUUUUAACUUUUCAAACAAGCUUGUGUAGGAUUCUCCGAUUGGCGUGAAACUAUUUAUUUGCCUUUGUUCCCCUAUAUGCCUCAGUUUUCUAGGGUUGUUGGAUGCUUGAAUAUGUUAUGAAGGCAAAAGUGCAUUAUGCGGUGUUGGCGCUCGCCAUAAGGAGUGACCUAGUGGUUGGAUAGAUGACUGGACAUUGUUCGGAGGAUAAUACUGGGGUGGAUAAUGUGGAGCUCGGGGAUAGGUUUGGGAUUGGGGUUGAGGCUGAGUAUAUUGGUGAGGUGGACCCGUUGGACCAUGUCGUGAUCCUGAGACAACCAUGGCAACAUCAUCAUGUUCCUUCUGACCCAGCAAGCUUUCUGUGUCGUUCUGAAUUGCUUGUGUUGUGGAUUUUAAAGCAGAAUAGCUCAUGAUCUUGCUUGACUUUAGCCCAUCUUCCACCAUUUUUCCCAUUUUACCACAUCAUUAAAAGGCUUACCCACAGCCGAGAUCAAACGUCCAAAGUAAAUAGGCUCUUGGGCUUGAAGAAAAUACUCAACCAUCUCGUCUUCUUCCAUCGGUGGAUUGACUCGGGCAACUUGCUCUCUCCAUAUGAGCCUGUAUUCCCUAAAGCUUUCAUUAGGCUUCCUUUCCAUCUUGGUGAGGGACAUGCGAUCUGGGACAAUUUCUAUAUUGUACUGAAAGUGUCGGGCAAAGGCCUGAACUAUAUCGUCCCAGGUGUAGCACCUGCUAGCGUCUUGGCGGGUGUACCACUCCAGAGCUGCCCCACUCAGACUCUAACUGAAAUACGCAAUCAAUAAUUUGUCCUUCGCACCGGCGCCUCUCAUCUUACUGCAGUAGCCUCUCAAAUGGGCCACGGAAUCUCCAUGUCCGUCAUACAAAUCAAACUUUGGCAUCUUAAACCCAGUAGGUAGUUGGACAUCAGGAAACAAGCACAAGUCUUUCUAAGACAUGCUCAUCUGGCUCCCUAUCCCUUGCAUGUUUUUUAAAGACUACUUUAAGAUUCUCACCUUCCUGGAUAUCUCAACUUGCUUGAAUGUCUUAGCAGGCUUUUCAGUUUCACCAAGAGGCUCAAAAUAAGGAGCGUGAGAGUAUGGAUCCGAGACCUUGAAAGUUGGUUCUGGAGCAUAGUGUUGGGCAUCGGGGACUUUGAACACAGUCUCGCUAGAGGAUCGAGGAAGAGUAGCUGGCGGAGGAGCUACAAAAACAUGAGUGGUUAAAGGAGUGGGGUAUGAGGUAAUUUUCGUAGGUGGAGUAUGAAAAGGUUGUGGGGAGAUAUCAGUAGCAAUAGGAAUCUGGAUUGGUGACAGUGGCGGAAUGAUGACAAGGCUUUCAGUGUAGUUAGUGGGAAAUAAUGGUAGAGCACGCCCAUUAAUCUAGGCUUGGUAUAUUUCGGUCAUCUGUCCUUUCAACCUUAGGACCUCUUCUUUCAACUCAGAUUCUAAUUCAAUAAUCUCUUUAGGCGUAACGUAUCUUUCUUAUUACAUCAUCAUAUACACGUGACAUACGGGCCUAAUAGGCCAACAUGAUCAUUUAUAAACUCAAAACAUAGCCCGACAAGGCCUUACAAUCUUUCACGUACCCGAUAUAUGUCACAAGCAUCUAAAAGUACAUAAAUGUCGGGACAGAGUCCCGCCAUACCAAACAAUACACGUCUAAAUCAUAUUAACCAAACGAGCAACUCCGAAGCAAAUGGAGUGCACCAACAUCUUCCGCUGACUUGGAGGGCUCUCGACCUGUCUAUCGGGACCUACAGGCAUGAAACGCAGCGUUCCCAAGCAAAAGGGAUGUCAGUACAAAUAGUGUACCAAGUAUGUAAGGCACAUAAAUAAAUACAUAAGAGACAUGGAAGAAAUAUAGUGUAAAUGACUCAACCUGUAAGUCUGAAUAACUUUGUAAAUCAUGUAAUAAUUAUAGUAUCAUGCAUAUGCGUAUGAAUGUCAUGUCGUUCAUAGGUACAUGUUUCAUAACAUCAUCAGCCUCUGAGGUCAUCUCAUCAUAUCAUCUUGGCCACUGUGGGCAAAAUCAUCAACGUAUACCAGCUGAACAGGUGGUGGUGCGUAUAUAACGCCAUAACCUUUCCCAUAUCUCAUAUACAUAUAUAUACAUAAAUAUAUACGCGUAUAUAACGCCAUCUAGUCACGGGACAAUGUACAUGAAUGCAAUGCAUGAAAAGUAUGUUAAUAAAAUCUUUCGGAAUUAUCAUAAAACAGAUGAUAAAGUAUUAUGACAUAUGGAAAUUCAAGAACAUAGAUAUUUCUAAUACUUCUAUGAAUAGAGUCAUUCAUGGAAUUUGUGCAUUUGCACGUUUCGCUUGUAUCGUAUGGAUCAUGUCAAAAGAAAAAAGGGAUAGCCUUAACAUAUCUGAAUCGAUUUCCUUGACAAUCCUUCUAACAUACGCCAAUCGCGACGAAACAUGUAAUGGUGAGAUCAAAAUAGGGAACAAUCUGUAUGAUCUUUUUGAGAAAGAUUCCACCGUACUCCCUUAGAAUCGCAAAUCCCACGUUGCUAUAAUAUUAAAUGGUUUUCGUAUGAAACGUUUGAAGCAACUAUGUUGCUAUUAUAGCUAUUACCCUUACUGAAGCUUUCUUUUUUAAUGUAGUAGAUGAGAGCAAUUUGUUGUAAAUUUGUAUGAAUCAGUUACAUUGUCAAUUUGUAUGAAUCUCUCGUUAAUGAAUUAGAGAGAUUCUUUUGUAUGACUCAUGUUACAAGGCCACAUAUUUUGCCUAAUUGUGCCGACUAUAUUCUAGCCAAAAGGAGUCACCCUUAGGGCCUUAGUUGGCUGCCACGUUAGGGUAGUGUCCCCCAUAUUGUUUUUUAAGCUUUAAUUGUUAAGUAAUGCAAUAUCACCUUGCCCUUUUCCGGAAAAAAUUGUACUCACCUUGUAUAAAAAUUUACUAUUUCAAUUAUGUAAAUGCAUCUUAGCUAGGUUCCCACUAAUGACUCAAUGAGGUUUGUUCUUCUUCCGCAUAUCUAUCUGCUAACAUAAACUUUCAUUUUAAGAGCUCACGAAACAAGAGAAUAUCUGUAUAUACUUCCUCGGUCCAAAAUGGCAACAAAUAGUACCGUUGUAGCCAAAUCAAUUUAAUUCAAAGCAAGUGUUGCAUUAGAAAAUAAAUAAGACUUUAAUUUUUAUCCAAAUCCACGCUUGUUUCAAUAGAUCUAUACAUACAUUUUUUUUAGAAGUACGUUUAUCCACAAUUUCUUACUUUGUUAAUCUUUAUCUAAAAAUCCAUAAUUAACCAAUCCACAUAAUUAAAAAUUAUCUCAAAUUACUUAAAAUACUACUUACUUCUAACACACUUUAUACACCUUACUAUUAUGGCCAUAUGGUACCUUGUAUGGUAUUAGUUCAUAAAUACCGAAUAUUUUAGCUUAGGCCGUAUUUUAUCCCAAAAUAAAUCUCAUUCCCAAAAUUACGUCGAUUAAUCUUACGACGAAGCUUUAACGUACGAUAAUGCGGAAUAUAAUAUCUCAUUUUUGGACUUUCAUCACUUACUUAUGGUGUACUUUCACGCAUGAAAACGUGGGGUGUAACAUCAUUCCCCUCUUUGGAACAUUCGCCCUCGAAUGUUGACUGAUGCACUUAUCAUUCUCAUAACUCAUAGUUCUUGCGAAUACUUUAAUUUUCUCCUUUCCAUUUUGGCAAAUGUUCUUUGAAUAAAUCCACAGGCCAAGGCAUUUCCCCCUUUAAGCCUCUUUCUCACACCACGACUUGUAGUUGGAAUCCUUCUAAUCUCGUAAGUAUUGCUACAUUUGAUCAUGCAGCCUGUAUAAUUUUGACCUUGUAAGUGUGCCCAAUCUCUAGGCUUCAUAUGUAGAGCUUGAUAAGAUGUCCCUUUGGGCAUCUAUGAGUGUACUGAAGUUCUUUGCUUGGUACUUUGUUGAAUUCACGAAUAUUUAUCUCAUCGCAUAGGUCCGUUUAGUCCUCCGUAUGAAUUUACUGUCAUAACUCUUGCUUUAAUUUAUCAUUGCUGAGGUCUGCUACCAAAUCUCAGCUUACUCUCGUUGCUUAUUCCAUAUGUAUAAAUUUAAGUCCUUUAAUGUUUCAUCAUUACUGCUCAUCUUUAGAAUGACGGCCUAAUCUCAUCUCAUACUUUGUGACUUUUGUCCAUCCAUUGUUGAUUUACCUCCAUAUUGAUCUACAAUAUACCACUGAUAACUUGAAACUUAUUAUGUAAUACUUUUCUCCUAGGGCUUACAUUACAUCAAGGAAUAUUCAAAGUAAUUUUCCUGAUCUACUUAGCGGCAAUACUGUACUUCAAUAACUAUAUUCCAUAGCAUCCCAAGGUGAUUCUCUUACGUGGGUAUUUUAAUCCCAUACAAUUCAUGAAUCCCUUUUCUUUUAGUUUUAUUUUUAUUCGUAAUAAGGCGAUACCUACAUCCAGAAAGAAGGUUGGAAAGAGAGAUAGUUGUGAAAGAGCUGAGUGAGAGGAAUUGGAUUUUUGUAUGAUGCCUACGAUAAGUAAAUAUGAGGUUUUUAGCAGAUCAUGAGUGUACUAAAAGGUGUAAGCUUCCUGAUAAGAAGCCUUAGGGCAAGAAUGUCUACCCAUUUUUAUGGUGAAAGACAAUGAGAGAUUAAGAAGAUAAAUACAAGUUUCAACAAGCAAAAGAAGCAAGAUGAAGAAGGGUACGAGGCGCCCAGUUAAUGAAGGUUAACAGCGUUUAUAAUUAAGGCAAGGGAACAUAAGCAUUAUGAGUAAGAUGUGAUAUAUGGAUGACAACGAUAGAUCAAAAGAUGACAAUAUUACAAAACCUAUAGUCAAAUGAAGAAAGAGACGAAAGGUGAUGGGCCUUAAGAAAACAAAAUAGUAUAGGCCAUACAGUCACAUCCUCAUUUCGGGGAAUAAGUUCGUGACUCUAACAUGAUUACCAGAAGGGAGAAUUAAACCCUAGAAUAAUAGAAAUCAGUAUGGGCAAGUGAACAAGAUAAACUAAACAUGAAUUAGGGAAUGAGUAAUUUGAUAACGGUCAGCAUCAUGAGAAUUUCAUAUUGCGUUCUGGUAAUAAUAGAAUGGACAACAAAAGAAUAUUUAUAGGAAAUUCAGAGAAUGGUCAUUCAAGAAGACAUUUCCCUAAAGCAAGCAAGGGGAGCAAAGUUAAGCUUAAGGGAAUGUAUAUGCCAGUUACACUAAGUGUCACCAUUGUGAGUAAGGAAUUUUGUUAUCCUUGGUACAUAAGGAUUACCGCAAGGCGAGUAAGGGCCAUCGAUGAUGUAAAAGGAUGCCAGAGAUGAAAAGGCGAAACAUAUAUAGGCAGGUCAUCAUAGCUCCAGCUCUUAGUACUCCCCUAAAGGGGGGAAUAUGGAAUGAUAAAGGAAGAAUGGGAUAAAAAUGAGAAAUGGAUGAGAUUGCACUUAUCCAAAUGCUACAGAUAUGCUACGAUUCCAGAACAUUAUGCAAACGCGACGUCAAGGAGAAGAAGUAAGGGUUCCUGCCCAAGAUGUUAUUGAUAAUUAAGAAGCCAGUGCGAGACAUAAGUUAAGACCAAGGAAAUAACCCAAGAAACAUUUCGUGGAAUAUUGACAUGAGAAUGGAUCAACGAGUAGUUAGUAUUUGAUUCAGGAAGAGCCUAGUUAUGGCUAGUCAAAAGGAUACAGACAAGACAGUAGGUCGUGCAAGAUAAAGAUAGUAAAACCCAAUAUAGUGAAUUUAGCCCCGCAGUUAUGACAUUGUAAUACAUGAGAAAUAUUCAAAUAGGAGUUGGGGUAGUUAAAGGUACCAUAUAAGUGUUACGGAAAUAAAAGAUAGUUCCACUGGGAAGACAGUCAAAACUUCAGUUCAGAAGUAGUUGUACGAGCAGAUGAAUGUGGAGGUAAGUAACUAAGGAUAAUUACAAGUGAUCACAAACAUAAACAAUUCUCUCGGGAAUACGAUAUAAUAAGCUCGCAUCUUUACAAGAGUCAGAUGAUCCUCCCUAAGUACUACAGUGAAGGACUAGCUGAGAAAAUAAGGAAGAAGGCUUCAAUCUAAGCACAGUGACCUAAAGAGGAAAUGGUCUUGUAACAACAAUUUUACAACAACAUUGUACGUCCUCCAUAAGAAAGAGGAAUCUACCGUGGUUAAUGAACUGGAAGUAAAAAUUAAAAGAAAUAUUCGAAGAUCAUAUGAGUUGUAUGAAAAUUCCAACAUGCGUGGGAGCUAAGAUAAGCUAAGUAUGCAUGCAACAAGGGGGAAGAAAGAUCAGGAAAGGUAAUAGCUUACGUUAAAAAAAAUCUGAGAAGGAACGAAAGGAAUUAUUUGAUCAAUGAUCCUGAGUUGGUGACGUUAUGAACGCACUUAAGAGUUUGGAUUUUUAUACAUGCAGCAUAUAUGUUGACAAUCAUACAGCCAUAAAAGAUUCCGGUAUAAGUUAAAAGAAAGAAUUCAGCCAAGGUCAUAAACAAAGGAAUAAAUUGUUAAAAGAUUAUAUCAUAGAUAUUCCAUAGCGUCCAUGGAGGGGUAAAGUAAUAACUAAUAUCAUGAGCCGCAGAUUGGAAAAUAACUUAAGCCAGCAUAAAAGUCGAUCAGAAGAAGAAUGAAACUAAAGAAUUACAUCAACAAAGUAAAUCAGGAAUCUGAUUAUUGGACCUAGAAGUUAUAAGAAUCAUGAUUGAAAACAUAGUAGAAUCACUCUUAAUAUUAGAGGUGCAAGAGAGAUAGCACAACAACUAUGUUCUAUAAGGGCUCUACGAUAAAGCCAGUUAGAAGGGUACUAGUCUCAUAAGAAGUCGGUAUAAAACUCCCACGGGAUUGUGUAUGCACCAAAGGUGCAAGUAUUAUAAUAGAGCUUCAAGUUAUGGACGUGAAUUACACCUAGGUGGAAGGGAGGUCAUGAGAGAGAUAGAAGAAUCGAUGCGAGAUUUUAAGGUAAGUAAGGUAAAGGUGAACAACGUACGAGAUACUCAAAGGCAGAAGAUCAUAAAUAGUCCAUACUUCGGAUAAAAGGGCCAGAAGCACGAGGAUUCAAUAUCCAAGAAUGAUAGUGGCAUCGUCAGUGGCAUAUCUUCUAGUCAAUGAUUUCUAGGUAUCGAGAGGUCUAGUUCAGAAAGUAAAGAAGAGUUAGAGACGAUGUGAUGUCUCGCUUGAUGUUCUAAAAUAAUACAAGGAAAUUCAAGCAAGUUGAAGGAAGAUUACGAGUAGUAUAAAUAUAUAUGUAUAGGUCGCGAGCUAAAGUAUGGUAAAGCGACAAUGUUUUACGAAGACAGGAAUACGGAUAAGAAAGGGCAGUGAGAAGAUGACGAUAAUGGAUUAGGCCUCAGGAUUAGGCCCAUGAAAACAAGGGAGCUAAUGGCUUCUCUAUGUUAUAGUAAGCUCAGUAUAGCCUGAAUGGACUCAAAGGAGUUACUCUUCAUAAGUAGCAUUUAGAAGAGAUGGAAUGUUGCCCAAAUCGUAGAAUAAGGGUGUAAUUGUGAUUGAUAAAGGAUGACGUUUGGGCCUUCGAUGGGCCACGAUGGGCACCUCGUACCUUACUCAACCGAGUACCAACGUAACGUACCUUUCUUAUUAUAUCAUCAUAUACACGUGACAUACGGGUCUAAUAGGCCAACAUGAUCAUUUAUAAACUCAAAACAUAGGCCGACAAGGUCGUACAAUCUUUCACGUACAUGACAUAUGUCUACAAGCCUCUAAAAGUACAUAAAUAUCAUAAAGGUCGGGACAGAGUCCCGCCAUACCAAACAACACACGUCUAAAUCAUAUUAACUAAACGAGAAACUCCGAAGCAAAUGGAGCGUACCAACAUCUUCCGCUGAGCUGAUAACCUACUUGGAGGGCUCUCGACCUGUCUAUCGGGACCUGCGGGCGUGAAACGUAGCAUCCCCAGGCAAAAGAGACGUCAGUACGAAUAGUGUACCGAGUGUGUAAGGCACAUAAAUAAAUACAUAAGAGACAUGGAAGAAAUAUAGAGUACAUGACUCAACCUGUAAGUUUGAAUAACUUUGUAAAUCAUGAAAUAAUUAUAGUGUCAUGCAUAUGUGUAUGAAUGUCAUGUCAUAGAUAGGUACAUGUUUCAUAAUAUCAUCAGCCUCUGAGGGUAUCCCAUCAUAUCAUCUUGGCCACUGUGGGAAAAAUCAUCAACGUAUACCAGCUGAUCAGGUGGUGGUGCGUAUAUAACGCCAUAAUGUUUUUCAUAUCCCAUAUACAUACAUAUAUACGCUUAUAUAACGUCAUCUAGUCACGUGUCAAUGUACAUGAAUGCAAUGCAUGAAAAGUAUGUUAAUAAAAUCUUUCGGAAUUGUCAUAAGACCAUUUUGCCUUUGAGUAAUAUCAUAGAGUAACCUCUUUUCAACUUUCGUAUUUUUCUGAGACCCAUGAACAGAUGAUAAAAUAUUAUGACAUAUGGAAAUUCAAGAACAUAGAUAUUUCUAAUACUUCUAUGAAUAGAGUCAUUCAUGGAAUUUGUGCAUUUGUACGUUUCGUUCGUAUCGUAUGGAUCAUGCCAAAAGAAAGAAGGGAUAACCUUAACAUACCUGAAUCGAUUCUCUUGACAAUCCUUCUAACACACGCCAAUCGUGACAAAACACGUAAUGAUGAGAUCGAAAUAGGGAACAAUCUGUAUGAUCUUUUUGAGAAAGAUUCCACCGGACUCCCUUAGAAUCGCAAAUCCCACAUUGCUAUAAUAUUAAAUGGUUUUCGUAUGAAACGUUUGAAGCAAAUAUGUUGCUAUUAUAGCUAUUACCCUUACUGAAGCUUUCUUUCUUAAUGUAGUAGACGAGAGCAAUUUGUUGUAAAUUUGUAUGAAUCAGUUGCAUUGCCAAUUUGUAUGAAUCUCUCAUUAAUGAAUUAGAGAGAUUCUUUUGUAUGACUCAUGUUACAAGGCCACAUAUUUUGCCUAAUUGUGCCACCUAUAUUCUAGCCAAAAGGAGUCACCCUUAGGGGCUUAGUUGGCUGCCACGUUAGGGUAGUGUCCCCCAUAUUGUUUUUUUUAAGAUUUAAUUGUUAAAUAAUGCCAUAUCACCUUGCCCUUUUUCGGAAAAAAUUGUACUCACCUUGCAUAAAAUUUACUAUUUCAAUUAUGUAAAUGCGUCUUAGCUGAUUCCCACUAAUGACUCAAUGAGGUUUGUUCUUCUUCCGCAUAUCCAUGUGCUAACAUAAACUUUCAUUUUAAGAGCUCAAGAAACAAGAGAAUAUCUGUAUAUAUUUCCUCGGUCCAAAAUGGCAACAAAUAGUACCGUUGUAGCCAAAUCAAUUUAAUUCAAAGCAAGUGUUGCAUUAGAAAAUAAAGACUUUAAUUUUUAUCCUAAUCCAUGCUUGUUUCAAUAGAUCUAUAUAUACAUUUUUUUAGAAGUACGUUUAUCCACAAUCUCUUACUUUGUUAUUCUUUAUCUAAAAAUCCAUAAUUAAUUACUUCUAACACACUUUAUACACCUUACUAUUAUGGCCAUGUAGUACCUUGUAUGGUAUUAGUCUAUAAAUAUCGGGUAUUUUAGCUUAAGCCUUAUUUUAUCCCAAAAUAAAUCUCAUUCCCGAAAUUACGUCGAUUAAUCUUACGACGAAGCUUUAACGUACGAAAAUGCGGAAUAUAAUAUCUCAUUUUCGGACUUUCAUCACUUUACUUAUGGUGUACUUUCACGCAUGAAAACGUGGGGUGUAACACUAACCACCCUUCUGCUCAAUGAAGAUAACAAAAAGGAACAAAAUAAGAUCAUCACGUUAGCGUUAGGGCAUUUAUCACAUAGAAAUAUCACAUUGUGUGCAAUGCACCUAGGAAUAAUUAACGGUUCUAGAAUGACUUCGUGGGUCACAAGGUCAUUUGGCAUCAUCCCAUUUUUUUAUUUCAGUCUCUCUUUUCUUUCUUUUCUAGCACUUCUUGGCUUGCUCAUUUUUUUUCCACUUUUUUCUUUCUAAUUAUCACUAAUUUCUUUCCUUUCAUUUCUCACAUCCCACAACUUCAUCCUUCUUCUUUUUUUCUUUCUUUUUCUUUUUCUUUUAAUUUUAAAAAUGAUUCGAUCGAACCCUAUGUAGGUUGUCUACGUAUCAUGUCCCACAUGAAUCAGGUCAAGCGUAGUUCUGGAAAAGUAAUGGACAAAAUAAACUAAAAACAAAAAUCUUUUUGAUUUUUCAUUUAUAACUUUUUUCGGUGUUUUCAAAUACAAAACAGGAAAUACGAUAACGAGAGACUCGACAAACUCAACUAUACUACGACAAACUCUGACACCAACUAAAAGAAUCAGUACUACUGGACAUGACUAUAAAGUACAAAAAAUAUUAAAAAAAUAGACUCAAAACAUAGAAAAUCUCCUUAAGCAACUCUUGGAUGCAACGGUCCUAACUAAGAGGGUCCUUGGGCGUCUGUCAUGCUCGAUCUCUGAUAAAUGGAUCCAUACUUGAAUGGGAAAAAAUAAAAUCAAGCAGAGUUAGAGACUUAAAACACUAUGUGAGGCAAAUACACUUCCUAUUGGACACAGGCGAGACAUGAUUGAGCCUAUUUUUGUAAAAUGGACUACGUGGCCAAAAAGUGGCUAGAAAUGCAAACUCAACAAAGGUGACCUCUAAGACAUGGAAAAAUUACUUUGCAGAAAUGACUCAUUUGUAGAAAUGGUCUAUGUGGCCAAAAAAAUGGCUAAGCUUGCAGAUUCAACAGAAUGGACCUUAAAUAGAGAGGACACCUUGUUGUGAACUUAGGACUCUAAUACAUGGGUCAUUGAACCACUUUUGCGAAAAUGACCCCAUUUUGCAAGAACGACCGAUGUGGCCAAAAGCGGCUAGACAUGCAAAUUUGACAAGGACAUGCCUUAAAGUAAAGAGACACCUAAUUGUGAAUUCAAGACUCCAAACACAAUUAAAUAAGUCACUUUGCAAAAAUAGCCCUAUUUUGCAAAACGACUGAUGUGGACAAAAGUGGCUAGACAUGCAAGAUUAGGCUACGACCCUCGAAGCCAAGAACUUAAGACUCACUAGGAAGACCAGACCAUAUGUGGGCUGCCUACGUAUCCCGCCCCGAAAGACAAGAAUCGGGUAUGCGUAGUUCGGGAAGGUUGGAUACGGGUGAGAAUUAAAAAGCAACUGAUUUGGAGAAAAAUAUAUAUUUUUUGUCUUCUUUUUCUUUUUUUUUCUUUUUUUGAAAAAAAUGAUUGGAAAGUGCAAAAACUUUUUGAAUUUUUCAUUUUCAUUUUUUGGUCUUUUUCUUCAAAAAUAAAUAACCAAAUAAAAAAUUAUGAAAGAAGAAAAAAGAAAGAAAGUCAGAGAAACACUUAAAAAAAUUUCUAGAAAACCCUAGAGAUCCGACAGCUACAGUGCCAAAUAGUAACGUGAACAGUGCCAUAAUAGUGACUACAAAGCACUGUUCAUCACCACAAAACUGGCGACCUGAGCUGAUAUGGUCGCGAUGGCCGGCGACCAGCAUCUGUGCCAGCUGGUAUGCCUUCUUCAAGCAUGGCACAAGCAAACACAACUACAAACAUCAAUCCUCAACCUCUAGAUUACUCAAAAAUCUUGAAACCCAUUACUUUAAACACACCAACUAUGACAGCUGUUGCAACAACAAUCCAACCCAUUCAGAUGCGACGAGUUACUUUCUUGAAUGGCCAACCAAUUGUGAAAUUCACAGAAGCAGAAGUUCAGAGGAUGAAUGUUAUCGAAGGUCUUCAAUACGCAGUGGUCGAAAAAUUAUAUUAUGGAUCUCCGGAGAUUCAUGAGCUUCGUCGAAUUAUUCCGAUUCAAUGUGGAAUUAAAGGUGAGUGCAAUAUUGGAUUUCUUAGAGAUCGUCAUGUGUUAAUUCGAUUAACUCUAUGGCAAGACUUCCUCGAUUUCAUGUCGAAGAGUACGUAUUAUAUCAAAGCUAAAGAUGGAUACGAAUAUCAAUUGUGUACUCUUAUUUAUGAUCCAAAGUUUAAGGUGGGUGAAGAAACUCCGAUGGCGAUGGCAUGGAUCUCCUUUCCUGGACUACUGCCUACCUUUUAUGUUAAGGAAACUCUGUUUUCUUUGGCUACAGCUGUGGGAAGACCAUUGUGUCUUGACGCGGCUAUAAUAAAUAAAACAAGACCGAGUUGCGCGAGGGUAAAGGUUCUUGUAGAUUUAUUGGCUGAGUUACCAAAGAAAAUCCGAAUGGACAUCGAUGAAGAAAUUUAUGGAGGAAUAAGGACAGAGUGGGUCAAAGUCCAAUACGACAUGUUGCCGAAGUAUUGCAAGGAAUGUAAGCUUCAAGGCCACAAUGAAAUCGAAUGUUGGCGAUUGCAUCCCGUGUUAAGUGAAAAAUGAGGCAGUGUGGUAAAGGAUGUUGUUGCUGAAUCGAGGAACUGGGCUGCUGCAGCAGAAGAACAGGGAAACAAAAUAACACAUGAUUCUCCUUUGAUGUUCCUCACGAGUUGAAAAAUUGUCGGCAAUGUAGGUGAACAAUGGGAAGAGGUCAGAGACAAUCGUGAGAAGAUAAAUGCACAACUGGCAGUGACCCAUGCUAAAACUGGAACUGAAAUUGUUCCAGUUACAACUGAAACUUUGGAGAAUCAGCAGGUACAGGUUAAAAAUAAAUUUGUUGUUCUAGAGGUACAAGAGGAGGAGACGCAAGGAGAUAAGCAAUUGGCUUUGGUAGGAACUAGUAUUUACAAUUGCAGCUCGAUUCAAUCUCCUUCUGCAGCUAGGAAUGAUACUCCAAAAUCACCUAUCAGACUAAAUCCAAAGGCUGAUGCUUUUAAUCCUAAUGACAAAAGGACUAGGAGUGAUUCUUAAUUACAAAAGGAGUCUACUACUCAUUGGGUGAACAAGACAUUUGCAACUGGUAACUUAGUGACUACUAAUCGAUUUUGUCAGGAAAUGCCCUCACAAAAUGUUGAUACAACUAACUCAGUUGAUGAACCAAUGGAAAAAAGAGAGGUUGCAGCUAAGUGGAGGGAAUUUAUGGACUGCUCAAAUAGAAGAGUACCCUGAGGAAGGUGAAACUCCAGAUGCAAUGGAAGCAGACGAUGAAUAUACUGAGGAGGAUGCGGAAAAAGCAUAACACAAUGUUAAUGGGAAGGCCAAGGAGUCUACUGGUAUAAAGCCAAAUCAGAGUGGUGAAGCGGCCAUCAUGUUGCAGAACACUUUUCCUUCUCCUAAUUUAAAUCCUAAAAGUGUAAUGAAGGACACAAUAAAAGAGGCAAACAAAGACUGGAGCACUAACAAUUCAUCUCUGAAAAUUGCUGAUGCAUCUGAACCAGAUGCACCAAUUCCUUCAGCUGGAGAACAGAAUGGUAUUACCAUUGAUACUGGAGUAAAAGGUGAUAAUAAAGGAAUUUCAGCUGGGCAAGAUACAUAUCAGCAGGGUGAGACCACUCCCAAGGAAUACAUCAGUGGAACCAAAAGUAACAGGAAAAUGCAGAACACUGAACAAGCAGAAAAUCCUACACCCUCAGCUGAACAGAUGAAUGCAAUUAAUCAAGGUGGGAUUAAGUUUACUGCAACAGUGCUAACAAAUGAAGUAGUUCAACUGAACAAUGAAGCAAUUAUCAAUGCAGGUGAUGAACACUAUAUUGUAUUGCUAAAACAAAGUGCUGCUAAAUCAGAGGAGUUGCAGAAUGUAAAUCUGGGAAAAAACAAGUCAGCCAAAGGUAGAGUCAACAUUCAAGCAAAGGAAGUUCCAGCUGACCAAAUGAAUACAGUGGCACUCUAAAAAAACACUAAGAAUUAGGCUGUGCAAUUCGAGGACCACAAUGUAUGUGAGGGUAACAGGGAAAAUAAAGGAAAAGAUCUAGAUGAGAAGUCAACUGCACAAAACUUCAUAAAUGUAGCUAGACAAGGUGAUUUAUCACCAAGGCAAGUUGACAAAGGGAGAUCGAAUGAUAAGGGCAGGAAGAAGCAGCAGAAAUAUAGCACAUAUAUGCAGCGUACUGGUGUUCAAACGCGAAGAACAAUGACUAAAUCCAAUCUCUUACCAUGAAUGCACUCAUCUGGAACAUAAGGUCAGUAAAAACAAAGAAGGCAUUUCAAAGGACAAUCACAAUGCAUGGACAACACCAUUUUGAAUUUAUUAGAUUAAUAGAGCCAAAGCAGCAUGCUAGGAAGCUGGACAAAUAUAGGAGGAAAAUUGGAUUCUCACAAGCAUUUGGUAAUAUUACCAACAAGAUCUGGGCAUUUGUUGGAGAAGUUUAUGACGUUGACAUAUUGAUGGAUAUGGAGCAGCAGUUAACUUUAAAGUUACAUCAUGUUCACACACAAAAAGCCUUUAUCCUUACAUUGGUAUAUGCAAAAUGUGAUGCGAUAGAAAGGAUCGAACUAUGGGACUCAAUGUAUGCACUUGCAAAUGAUUUGUCUUUACCUUGGAUGGUUGGAGGAAACUCUAAUGUUAUAUGGGAUGAAGAGGAGAAAUUUGGAGGCUUACCAGUCCAUAUGAAUGAAAUCGUUGACUUUAGACACUGUGUAAACACUUGUAACCUAUAUGAUAUAGGUUUCAAGGGAAGUAUAUAUACAUGGUGGAAUGGACGAGCGGAAGGGGACUGUAUUUUCAAGCGACUGGACAGAUGUUUAACGAAUGUUGAAUUUCAGAUUUCUUUUCCACGUUUGGAGAUUACACACCUACCAAAAAUUGGAUCUGACCAUAGCCCUUUAUUAUUGGCAGCUUCUACUAACAAUGCUCCAGUCAAAAAACCCUUUAAAUUCCUAAACGUUUGGACAAAACAUGAAUCUUUUCCUGAUGUGGUCAAGGAAAACUGCACUGCCGACUUCAGCAAGUCCAUUCUAUCUCUUUAACUACAAAAUGAAGAAGUUGAAGAAAGCUUUAUCAACUUGGAGUAAGGCUACAUAUGGGGACAUUUUCCAAAAGAUUGUAAACCUUGAAGAAGUUGUCAUUGUUCAUGAAGCUCAAUUUGAAAUUAACCCAACACAACAGAAUCGACAAAGGCUCCAACAAGUUGAAGCAGAACUGAUAAGAUAUUUAGCGUUAGAAGAAGAGUUCUGAAAACAAAAGGCAGGGAUGGCUUGGUUCAAACACGGGGAUAUGAAUACUAAAUUUUUCCACGCUCACGUGAAUGGUAGGAGGAGGCAUUUGCAAUUGAACAGGAUCCAAAAUGAUGCAGGUGACUAGAUCAAAAAUGUCCCAGAAAUUGCAGAAGAAGCUGUCAAAAAUUUCAGCAAUCAAUUUCACGAAGGCAGUGUUCCGGAUACUUUCGGAAUUAUUGACAAUGUACCUCAUAUGGUUAGUAAUGAACAGAACAUGGGCUUACUAACAACACCUACGAGAGAAGAAGUGAAACAUGCUGUUUUUGGCUUAAAUAGUGAGAGUGUUGGAGGUCCGGAUGGCCUCACUGGGUGUUUCUUUCAUAAAUGCUGAGAUAUAAUUGGCGAAGACAUUUUUCAAAUGGUUAGUGCAUUUUUCUGUGGCCACGAACUACCAAGGUUUGUGACACACACGAAUCUGGUGCUAUUACCAAAAAGGAAGGAGGUGAACACAUUUUCAGAUAUGCGACCAAUAAGCUUGAGCAAUUUUGUUAACAAGAUUUUCUCAAGAGUUAUUCAUGAAAGUUUAGUUGGUCUUCUACCAAAUCUCAUCUCAGACGAGCAAUCUGGUUUUGUAAAGGGCAGAAGCAUUAUUGAGAAUGUGUUACUAACUCAAGAGAUUAUUACUGAUAUUAGACUGAGAACUAAAGUAGGACCAAACGUGGUCAUUAAAUUAGACAUGACAAAAACCUAUGAUCGACUAUCUUGGUUAUUUUUGACAAAUGUAGUGAGGAAAAUGUGUUUCGAUGAAAGGUUCAUAUCUCUAAUUUUUGGUAUAAUCUCUAACAAUUGGUACUCGGUACUGAUAAAUGGAUAGCCGUAUGGUUUUUUUAAAUCGACAAGGGGAGUAAAGCAAGGAGAUCCACUAUCGCCUACUUUAUUUAUCUUAGCGGCUGAAGCAAUGUCGAGAGGGUUAAAUGUGCUACAUCAUAAUCUAUACUUUUAUGGAUUUGGAAUGCCGAAAUGGAGUCCAAAAAUAAAUCACCUUACAUAUGCAGAUGAUACCAUAAUAUUCUCCUCCUCUUGUGAAAUAUCUGUACUAUUGAUUAUGGAUGUUUUGGCUGCUUACGAAAAGCAUCGGGACAGCUUAUUAACAAACAGAAAUCUACUGUUUACUUACACCACAAUGCUCCUGCAGAAGUGGUUAACAAAGUUCAGAGGAUCACAGGCAUAACACGACAAGAAUUCCCUUUUACAUAUCUUGGAUGCCCAGUUUUUUACACUAGGAGGAAAAUAGAAUUUUAUGAAGGGCUUAUCACCAAGACCAUGAACAAAAUGCAAUCUUGGAAGGGGAAGUUGUUAUCCAUUGGUGGAAGGGCUACAUUGAUUUCAUAUGUACUACAAUCCAUGCCAAUUCAUCUAUUAUCGGCAGUUAAUCCACCGGCUAGUGUCAUCAAUAAAUUGCAUAAAUUGUUUACGCAAUUUUUUUGGAGCAAUAUAGUUGGAGGUAGAAGUAGGCACUGGGCGUCAUGGGACACUUUGUGUCUUCCAUGUGAAGAAGGUAGAGUGGGAUUUAGAUCUCUCCAUGAUAUGGCCAAAGCUCUAUUUUGUAAACUACUGUGGAAGUUCAGAACGAUACCAAGUUUGUGGAGCUCAUUCAUGAGCCAAAAAUACUGCAAAAAGCUUAACCAGAUCAUUGUACCGUGGAGGAAAGGAUCUCAGGUAUGGAAGAGGAUGAUAGAAUGUCGACACAUUAUUGAACACUAAAUAGGAUGGCACACAAAAAUGAAGUCAUCACUUUUUUGGCAUGAAAAUUGGACUGGGCUUGGAGCCUUGUAUUUCCUCAUGAAUCCAGAUUUUGCAAUUGAUGAGUCAAUAAAUAAUGUAUAUGAGGUGACAAUAGAGGACUCAAGAGAUGUUGAUAAACUAUUGCAAACUCUGCCAGAGGAGUAUGUGGUUCACAUUGUGGAAAAUAUAAAGCCACCAGCAAUGUGAGCUACACUAGAUAAACCUUUUUGGAGAUUGGAAAAUAGAGGAAACUUCUCUGUCAGUACUGCUUGGAACUAUUUGAGGAGGAGGAAUGAUCAAAAGGUUGCUUACAAAAAUAUAUGGGUGAAAGGAAUGCCUUUUAAGAUUUCCUUCUUCUUAUGGAAGGUCCGGAAAGGUAAAUUACCACUAGACGACCUCAUGAAAAGGCUAGGCUACUGCACGCCUUCAAGAUGCUGGUGUUGCGAUCAACCAAACGAGGAAACUCUGUCCCACCUGUUCUUCACAUCACAAGCUGCAAGAAAGGUAUGGUCAUAUUUUUUAAUGAGGGCAGGAAUUAACAUGGAAGGGUUGUAUCUGCAUCGAGCAAUAGUUAAAUGUUGGACUGUUAAAGUUGUCCCAAGGUUGGAACCAAUUUUACAAGCCGUACCAGCUGUGAUAAUUUGGGAGUUGUGGAAAAGAAGAAACAGCUCCAAACAUGGCGAAGCUAUAUCAGUCAACAGAGUUAUCUAUCAAGCAUCAUCAGUGUUACAAUCAAUUAUUCAAGUUACAAAACCUACGAUGUUGAACGUCCCUCACAAAUGGACUGAACUAUUGCGAAGAAUGGAAAAUCAUACUCCAGAUCUGAAGUUCACAAAAGUGCUUUGGGAAUUUCUAGCCUCGGGGUGGAUCAAAGUAAAUACAUAUGGAGCGUCGAAGGGUAACCCAGGAAGAAGUUCAAUUGGAUUUGUCUUGAGGGACGAGGAAGGAGAUGUAAUGUAUGCUAGAGGAAAGGAAAUCCAUGAAACUACAAACAACGAGGCAGAAGCUUGGGCUAUAUUGGAGGGGUUGUCCUACUGUGUUCAUCAGCAGUACACACAAGUCCUUAUACAAACAGAUUCAAAGCUACUGAAAAAUGUUUUAGAUGGACUGUGGAUAGCUCCUUGGAAUGUGACUGAAAUUGUGGAGGAAAUAAAUGUGUUAAGGCACAGAUGCACUGUUACAUUCACACACAUACUGAGAGAAGGUAAUCGUUUAGCAGAUUACCUAGCUAAUUAUGCUUUGGACUUUGGAAACAUUGAAGUUGUUGGAUAUACAGAACUGGAGAUUUUUGGUAAGAAGAUACUCAAUAGUGACAAAAUGUAGUGUCCAUACUUGAGAGUGAAGCUUAAAAGGAACUGAACAGAUGAUAAAGAAAAAAAAGAGAAGAGGAAUAGCAGGGUACUAUGUCAGCAUAAGAGAGGAGUUCAUAUUUCACUGGUUCAAACAGAUAUAUAGGAGGCUGGGCAGGAAAAUUGGAAGUGCAAAGCUACUGUGUAUCAUCGAGCAGUUCAGGCGCAAAUAUUUAGACAUAAAAAUGUUUCUUAUAUGUGGAGGUGAUGCAAUUUUUGCAGCUGGGAGCCAGGCAGUGAGAUAUGCAGCUAAUCAUAGUAUUGCAGAUCAUUAGUUCCAAAUCCUUUGGGAAGAGGACAAGAUGAUCAGUUUUUAUUCUAACUGUUUGUUCUUUUUUGCAGAGAAAAUUAUUGUACUCCUGCAUUCCUAUUUGAUACACAUUCAAAGGGUGGUAUUAUCACUCGUUGCUCAUUCUGUUGAAGGAGUAACAAUAGGUGGCACAAGCAUGGACGCUAGGAUAUCACUACCUAGAGUUCAAAUUGACACGAUUCACAUGGACAUUUGGAUUUCAAAUAAGGGAAAUCUGGGUGCAUUUGGUAAUAAAGCACUAGUACAUCUGGCCACUACUCCAUCUCAAGAAUGGUUCAAACCAAUGGUUAAUAUAGAGGGCUGCUUCAGACUAUACAAUCAUGUAUUACUGUAGGGCAUAUGCAGGCAACAUCUGCCCAGACAAAACGAUAUUGUAAUCAUGCACUACCAUAUGCCAAACUUCCAAUUGGUGGUUUUAGUGCUAUGUACUAAAUCCAAUGGGAGGAAAGCUGUGGAAGGAACAAGUUUUGAUGCUGGAUAUACUUUGGAAAAGGCUAUAUCGGUACGAAACUAUGGGGACCUUUGGCAUGAUUCUUUUCAUGCUCAAGGUUACGAUUUCUCAAGAAACGUAAUCCAACUUGCAAUAAUGUGGAAUUUUCAAGAUUCGACUGAAAAGCAAAGCCACAAGAUACAUACACUGCCCAGUUUAUCUUUUGCGAGGCAGCAAUGCUCAGCUUGAAAUAUGGAAGAAUUGAACUGCCCAAAUUUGAUUUACAAAAUAUGUCCUGAAUAUGAGAGAUGCAGUAGAGAUAGAUGGAGAGCUAUAUUGAGAAUAAAUCAAGAGCAAGCUCAAAUGUUGUGGCAAUGGAAUGGUAGAAGAGCCAUACGUGACUGGAACCAUUGUGGACUCUUGGACUCAAUGGCAGUACCCAGGAUAGCUUAUGGGCAUUAUUGUCAUGGAAUUUUGGACAUAAUUGCUACAAUCUGGGCUAAAGUAUCAAUACAAUAUGUUAGUAUGUUAAUUCUGCAAGUAAUUUAUACAGAAACUACAACAGGACCAGGAAAGGAAAUACGCAAAAAUGGAAGCAGAAAUAUGUUGCUAACACAGUGCUCAACAGUGCACCUUCGUGGCCUUUUGUGCAAUCAUUAUGGAGAAUUGGAAUGCAAUGGCUAGUUUUUAAUAAUAGUAAAAGUCUUAGAUUUCAUCAUGUACUAUCAUUGGGGAGUUUUACACGAACCUUUGAUAAUAGAAUCUAUGUACGCAUCAAAGUUUAUUUCUUUCAAUUUGUAAGACCACCCAACGAUGUCUUGUUUUGUUGUUUUCCUUAUUUUUAUUAAUAAAAUAACUACUAGGUAUGCCUAGUAGUAUAAUUUUUAAAAAAAAAACUGGGCCCUACUUGCUUUUUUUUUUAAACUUCACCCUCUUUUUUUUAUUUACCCUCAACCAUCAUUGGUCCGCCAAAUGAUCCCUUUACCCUUGAAUAAUGCAACAUGUAGCACAUAGGAUGCAUUAGAAUAGUCUUUUAUUUUUUUGGGGACACUUGUCCUACACGGACCCAACUCCUGUGUUGAGUCCCCAAAGUCAAAUGCACGUGAUGCAAACAAACUUUCCUACUAGGGAUCCUGAAUGAGGCGAUGUUAUUCUAGGUUUAAACCUGGGGGUGUGUUCUAGACAUGGCUUACCCAAGGGGACAGCUCGAGCCGAGAUGGGGACAAUGUACUGGGAGCACAAAAGUCUGUCCGGCCUAGUUGCUGACCCAACCUCAUUCUAUUUGGUAUGACUUCUAACAAAAAAGUGGGCCACGUGUAUGUGUGCACCAUAUUUUUAGAUUACUCAGAAGGGAGGAGUAAGAAGACAGUUUAAUACAGUCCAAAUAAUAUCAAAGUGGUAAAUAAGCGGCAAUUAACACAUUAGGUCCACAAACACAGUAAUAUAAACAAACAAUAAAGUCAAGCAUAGAUCAUAUUAACAAGUUCGAAUUCUGAACCAUGAACCAGAGAUUCUGGGUUUUUGUCCCCAACAGAGUCGCCAGAGCUGUCACACCUCAUUUUUAUCCGAAAGGGAUCGGGAGUUUUUCCAAUUAAAGUGACAAUAAUCGAAAUAGAAUUUUUUAUUAGAUUUAGAGUCGCCACUUAGGAUAAUUUAUGGUGUUCCAAGUCACUGGUUUAUUUUAAAUCCCAAAUCGAGAAAAUUAACUCUAUUUAUGGUCUGCGAAUACAGAAGAUCGGGUAAGGAAUUCUGUUAUCCGGGAGAAGAUGUUAGGCAUUUCCGAGUUUUGCGGUUUUAGCAUGGUCGCUUUAAUCAUACCUAGCUUAAUCAAUUUGUCUAAUUACAUGUGUUUAGAACCUAUGUGCAUUUUACCUCUUUUAAUUAAGAAAUUAUCCUAAAACGUUUCACGCGUACGUGUACUCUUUUCAUUUGGCGCUUGAAGAAUCAUGUCACGCAUACGUGUACAUAAUUCACAAUACUUAAUUAUUUAAGAAAAACUUGGUCAAAUUUGUGCGAACGCAUACCUUGAUUUAUUUUGAAAAAAAUUGUAAUUAUGUCACGCGAACGUGUACACAAUUACGAUGAUAGAUUAAACAGCGCCUAAAGCAUUUCCUAUGAAUAUUCAUUUUAAAAACGUACUUGUGUCGCGCAAACGUGUACGCAAUUAAUAGUAUUUUAUUACUAUUAAGAUUGUUUCUCCCAAAGUUGCGCGAACGCAUACUUCGGCCUUAAUUUUGGAACCCAUAAUUAUGCCACGCAAAUGUCAAAAAUAUCCGAAAGAUUGACUACCCAAGUGUGAUCGGCCUAAAAUAUAUUCGUAGCGAUUCAACCCAAAAGCAAGAAUAAGCAGUAACAAAAUUAUCUUGAGUCUAAAUUCUUUUUAAUUUUAGUCUAAAAGACCACUGCCUUCUUAAUUCCAUUAACAAUUAAUUUCUAAGCCUAUUUUCUCAAUUCAGCUAAUAGUUUACUGAUUUGAAAUAAGAACAAAUCCACAUACUCAUUUCCAAUCUUUGAAGAGAAUUUCAAACAAACCCAACAUAAUAUUGCAAUCAGAUUCUCAUUCAAUAUACUAAUUCCAGAUGUCUAAUUAUAUAAGCACACGAAUGGAAAGAACUUCAACAAAAUUUUCAUUCAAAUCCCAAACACACAAGGAAGAAUAUUGAAAAUAAAUUAGGAACAAGGUUUAGAAAUGGACCUCAAACAGAGUUGACGAACUCCGAAGCGAAACCGUGGACGAGUUGAUCUCACCGAACCGAGCUAGGACUCACCUCAACAGCAUUACAGUCAAAUUCCAUAUUUGGGAAUCACAGUCCAAAUCGAAAAGAAGAAACGCAAUCUAUAUUUUUUGGUUUGGAUUUACUGGAAUUUUAAGAAGACAAAGUGUUGGAUUUAUGAAAUAUCAACGUGCGUUAAACAAAGAAUUAGAAGAAUUCAACGUGAGCGAAACAUCUUCCAUUUCCUUUUAAGAACAUAUUUUAAAAUUUGUGAGCUCAAAGUUAUGAACAAUAUGCACAAAUUUAUCAAUCAUCGCAGCUUAGUUAGGUCCUUCUCUUCAAGUGAUGUGUCGUUGCUUGUUGCUCUCUUUAUUUGUUAAGGAUUUUGGAAAUACAGUGGGUAAUGGAACUGAAAAAUAGGGAUUUAUUUACUAGAUUUUAAUUUGGGGAAGAUAACUCAUUUUUGGGAGUGUUUCAAUUUCGGAAAUUGGUUAGGCAGAGGUCUGUGUCGCUGGUGUUUUGGGAGUUGCGGCUAGAAUGUUGAAGAGAGGUGGGGUGCGGCUGGGUUCUUUAGAAUUAGGAAGUAUGGCUGGUUUUUCCUCUCAAAAUCAGAGUGAGAACCAUGGAAAUUUUUUCAGGAGGUUGGCAGCCGUUCUUCA
rnacentral:lncRNA from 1 species